rnacentral:rRNA from 1 species
UCCUCGUUCAAGAGCAAAAAUUGCAAAGCUCUAUCCCCAGCACGACGCAGUUUAACAAGAUUACCCAUUCCUUUCGGAAAAGGCCAAAACUCGCUGGCUGCGUCAGUGUAGCGCGCGUGCGGCCCAGAACGUCUAAGGGCAUCACAGACCUGUUAUUGCCUCGAACCUCCCCCGAAUUGUCUCCGGUAGUCCCGCUAAGAGCCGAAGACUCACAAAAUGUGGGUUUCAGCAACUAGCGGCCGAGGUCUCGCUCGUUAUCGCGAUAAGGCAGACAACUUACGUCACGAACUAAGAACGGCCAUGCACCACCACCCUUCUAAUCAUGAAGCAUCGCCAAUGCGUCAAUCCUACAGAAGUCUGGACCUGGUGAGUUUCCCCGUGUUGAGUCAAAUUAAGCCGCAGGCUCCACUCCUGGUGGUGCCCUUCCGUCAAUUCCUUUAAGUUUCAGCCUUGCGACCAUACUCCCCCCAGAACCUAAAAACUUUGAUUUCUCACACUGCGCCGACCCCCCAUCAAAUUCAAGGGGCCGAUUCAGAGUCGGCAUAGUUUACGGUUAAGACUACGACGGUAUCUAAGCGUCUUCGAUCCCCUAACUUUCGUUCUUGAUUAAUGAAGAUGUCCUUGGCAAACGCUUUCGCAGCAGUUAGUCUUCAGUAAAUCCAAGAAUUUCACCUCUUACUACUGAAUACUGAUGCCCCCGACCAUCCCUAUUAAUCAUUACGACGGUCCUAGAACCAACAAA